GACGAUGGGUAUUAAUUUUAUUUGUUAUUGAGAUCGCUGAACAUAGCAAUAAAAAACCGAUCUACUAUUAUCUUUUUGUACGCAUCCUGAUCCAGUAUAAUUAAUAAUGUUGGUCUUAAUUGUAAUAUUAAUUUAAUAUUUUUCCGCGAGUACGGAGAGAGAAAUAAAUAUUGUGAAAUAAUUUAUUUUAUUUCAAUACAGCAAAAGUAUCCCACAGAUGUCUCGAUAACCACUUUUGAUGAAUUGUCUGCCAGCAAUCAAUGCAAAUUUAAUUUGUAGUUUUCACUAUUCGUCCAUUCUCGUCAAUUCUUCUGUGCAGAUUUUUUAUUUACUAUACUAAAUGCAUUUGUUAAUUUUUAAACUGAAUUGCUGUGAAAUGUCUUUUGCACAUUUAAUGCCCACUUAUUCUCUCGGGUUCACGAACUAAAAAGGUCAGAUAGUUACCAUAUACAGAACAGUGUAUAUACCACAUGAUGAGAAUAAUGAAUAACAUCGGAAAUGGCCUUUCUAUUUUUAUCCAUAAUUAACUAUAUUUAUAAUCGUUUUUAUAUUAGUUGACGGGUUCCUGACCUAAAUGCUGCCCAUGUAUGUGGUCGAACACUCCCUAUAUUGAUAUGAUUAGUUGGACUUUCAAAUUUCGCCAUGCAGGGAGUAAAAUUAAACGAGAAAGCUGCGGAUUAAUAGCGAUGCAAUUACCUGAAAAAUGCAAGGAGAACUUCGACGUUUCGAGCGAAGACACUUUAAAGAAGUUAGUAGCGGGGAUCGGGAAAAUUACAUGAGCUUUUUAUACUAGUGAAUAUAAAGGCGGUCACGUGACAAAAAAUAAACCAAUCAGAUGGAUAGAGAGUAAACAAAAAUACAUGUAAAUCACAUUACAGAAUAUAUAAAUUAAAUGGAUGGCGGAUAGAAUAAAGCAGUAGAGCUCUUCGGUUACCUAUACAAGUUUCAAUCAUGUGGUAUUCACGUCUUAUGCAUUUUGUAUAAAUUUGAAUAAAAAAUGGAUCAAUUAGCCUUUCGUACGCCGCCAUUUUUGGGUGGCUUUUCAGCCGACGUCUGAGAGAUAAGUCCACAUAACAGCGACUUUUUUAAAUUUUUUUGACGAAUGAUGGUAAAUUUGCUUUGUAAAUGGUUAGUUUAUUUUGACAAAAUGCUUUUCACAUUGUUUUAAUUAUCUGCAUUGGUUAACGAGAAUUAGAUGCCACCCAAAAAUGGCG